rnacentral:rRNA from 1 species
UGGUGCGAUCAUACCAGCGUUAAUGCACCGGAUCCCAUCAGAACUCCGCAGUUAAGCGCGAUUGGGCUAGAGUAGUACUGGGAUGGGUGACCUCCCGGGAAGUCCUAGU